AAGUCGUAACAAGGUUUCCGUAGGUGAACCUGCGGAAGGAUCAUUACAAAACAAAAUCCAAACCACACCAAAUGUGCUCUAUAAAUGCUGAGAAGCUGUCUUUGUGUGUGAAUAUGUUACUGUUUGUGUGAGGAGAAAAAUUUAUUUUUUCCUCCUCGCACUCUCACACACACACACACACACAAUCCUUCUUUUCAGCAUUGUCUUUGUUUAUCAAUUUUUUCAUUAACUCCUUGUUUAACCAACAACGGAUUACAAUGUUAAAACUUGAAACAAAAAAACAAAACAAAAUGACAACUUUUAACGGUGGAUCUCUUGGCUCGU
rnacentral:misc_RNA from 1 species